AGCGUUACGCCGGUGAAGUAUCAGCCGCUUGGCUAGUUGAUCGCACCAGUCUGUCUUGAAGGUUUAACGUGUACGGUAGUGUUGUGUUUGCCCCAUCAUCAUAAUGGGUGGUGGUUUAUUGCCUAUGCACCGUGUGUGCGGCUUGUUAACAGUGCUGCUCGCAGCGUCCGCAGUUGCUGGGGAUGACGCAAUGGUGCGACGCUUUCCGGAAGUGUUCCAGUUCGGUGUCGGUACGUCCGCUUACCAGAUCGAGGGAGGCUGGAACGAGGAUGGCAAGGGUGAAUCGAUCUGGGACCGGCUUUCGCACGCCAUACCGACGAAGAUUGCGGACGGUUCGAAUGGGGAUGUGGCGUGCGACAGCUACCACCAGUGGAAGCGGGACGUCCAGAUGGUGAAGGAGCUGGGUGUGCAGUACUAUCGGUUUUCGCUUUCCUGGCCCCGCAUUAUGCCGACCGGGUUGAGCAAUAGCGUGAACGUGAAAGGGCUCGAGUACUACAACAAUCUGAUCGAUGAGCUGCUUCGGUAUGGAAUACAGCCGAUGGUGACGCUGUACCAUUGGGAUCUUCCCCAGCGAUUGCAGGAACUGGGCGGCUGGCUGAACCCGGACAUUGCACAGUACUUUGAGGAGUUUGCGAAGGUCGCGUUCAGUAGCUUCGGUGACCGGGUACGGUUGUGGACGACGAUCAACGAACCGUGGCACAUCUGUGAGAAUGGGUAUGGGCGUGAGGAGAUGGCACCGGGGUAUGAUUUUCCUGGGGUGCCGGCGUACAAGUGCGGCCAUAACAUACUGCGUGCCCAUGCCGAAGUUGUCCGGCUGUAUCGUACGGCGUUUGCGGAGGUUCAAAAGGGGAAGAUCGGUAUUUCGCUGGAUGCUCGAUGGCCGGAACCGGAACACAUGACGUCGGAGGAUGAUUUGGAAGCUUCCGAUUGGCAGCUACAGUUUCAUCUUGGUUGGUUUGCACAUCCCAUAUUCAGUGUGGAAGGCGAUUAUCCGGCCAUAAUGAAGGAACGGAUAGGGAAUUUGAGUGCAGAGCAAGGUUUUCCCCAGUCCCGGUUGUCCGUAUUUACACCACGCGAGCUAGAGCUUCUACGAGGAUCCUCGGAUUUCUUCGCACUAAACACCUACACGUCGUCGCUGGUGCGCAAGAACGAUCCGGAGAACACGGCCGGCUAUCCCGUGCCUUCCUAUCUGCACGAUAUGGGCGUAGUAGAAUUUGCCGAUCCCGAUUGGCCCACAGCAGAGGAAACUUCCUGGAUAAAGAUAGUACCGUUCGGGUUGCAUAAACUGUUAAACUGGAUCAAGGAUAGCUACAACAGCCCGAUCAUCUACAUUACGGAGAACGGUAUCGGUUCCGGUCCCGGGACGAAAGAUCCACAGCGUGUGGAUUACUUCAACUACUAUCUCAACUCGGUACUGAACGCCAUCGAAGAUGGGUGUGACGUGCGCUUGUACGUGGCCUGGAGCCUGAUGGACAAUUUCGAGUGGAGAGAUGGUUACACACAAAAGUUUGGCCUGUACUACGUCGAUUUUGACGACCCGCAGCGUACACGGUACGGGAAGGUAUCGUCGAAAGUGUUCAGACGCAUCGUGAAAACGCGUACGAUCGAUUUUAACUACCAUCCAGAGCCGGACGUCUAUCUUACGGGCAACAAAGCUAGAGGAAUCUUACCACUGCCCGAUCUGUUCGUGUUCGCUUCGACAACCCUGGUGGCGAUGUGUGCGCGACGUAUUUGUGCGAUGUUUUUCUAGCGUGCGGUGUUUUUACGUUGAUUUCAACGGUUGCAGCUAACUGGUGCAGUUUUUUACUGGUGGUAGAUUAAAAAAUUCCACUUUCAAUGUAGAGCAACCAUUUGCCGCGAGUGCAUGUAGGACAGUUUUACUUGCAACGGAAAUCAACGGAACGUCUUCGUAUCGGUCGGUUAGCUCACGUCAUGCAGAUGUCUCACUACAUGCAAAACAAUGCUUAUGUCGCUUGAAUUGAUGGAUGAAACUAAUGUAUCGGUAACCGUCGUCAAAUCGGUCCGUGAUGCGCUUCGUACUUCCGUCUUGCAAGAUGUGCCUUUCGAUACAGUUCCCACACGAAGGCGUACAAAAUACGGUAGGAAAAUAGGGGACAUAUUUUCAUCAAGGCGAGUAUUGUCAUAAAUUUUUGUUUCUUCA